UACGGAGGGUGCAAGCGUUGUCCGGAUUCAUUGGGAUUAAAGGGUGCGUAGGCGGCUUGAUAAGUCCGUGGUGAAAGCCAACAGCUCAACUGUUGAACUGCCAUGGAUACUGUCAGGCUUGAGUACAGACGAGGUAGGCGGAAUGGAUCGUGUAGCGGUGAAAUGCAUAGAUACGAUCCAGAACUCCGAUUGCGAAGGCAGCUUACUAGGCUGUAACUGACGCUGAGGCACGAAAGCGUGGGGAGCGAACAGG
rnacentral:rRNA from 1 species